rnacentral:rRNA from 1 species
AUUGAACGCUAGCGGCAGGCCUAACACAUGCAAGUCGAACGAGUGGCGGACGGGUGAGUAAUGUCUGGGAAACUGCCUGAAGGAGGGGGAUAACUACUGGAAAAGGUAGCUAAUACCGCAUACAAUCAGAUGUGCCCAGAUGGGAUUAGCUUGUUGGUUGGGUAACGGCUCACCAAGGCGACGAUCCCUAGCUGGUCUGAGAGGAUGACCAGCCAAACGGGAAGUGAGACACGAGCCCGACGCCUACGGUAGGCAGAAGUGGGGAAGAUUGCACCAUGGGCGCAAGCCUGAUGCAGCCAUGCCGCGUGUAUGAAGAAGGCCUUCGGGUUGUAAAGUACUUUCAGCGGGGAGGCGUUACCCGCAGAAGAAGCACCGGCUAACUCCGUGCCAGCAGCCGCGGUAAUAC